rnacentral:rRNA from 1 species
AAGAAAGUAAGCAAGGGCGCAUGGCGGAUGCCUUGGCUCUCGGAGGCGAUGAAGGACGUGAUAAGCUGCGAUAAGCUUCGGGCAGGUGCAAAUAACCUUUGAUCCGAAGAUUUCCGAAUGGGACAACCCGUCAUUCUGAAGGAAUGACAUCUUGCAUAGCAAGAGGCUAACGCAGGGAACUGAAACAUCUUAGUACCUGUAGGAAAAGAAAAUAAUAAUGAUUCCCCUAGUAGUGGCGAGCGAACGGGGAUUAGCCCAAACCAAUGUUGUUACGGCAAUAUUGGGGUUGUAGGACCACGAUGUCGCAAGAAAUUUAGUGAGAAGAACCCUUUGGAAAAUGGGACCAUAGACGGUGAUAGUCCGGUAUUCGAAGCUAAAUGAAGCGUAGUGGUAUCCUGAGUAGCGCGGGACACGAGGAAUCUUGCGUGAAUCUGCCGGGACCAUCCGGUAAGGCUAAAUACUCCCGAGAGACCGAUAGCGAACCAGUACUGUGAAGGAAAGGUGAAAAGCACUUCGAAUAGAAGAGUGAAAUAGUCCCUGAAACCGUGCGCCUACAAGCGGUCGGAGCUGCUUCAGCAGUGACGGCGUGCCUUUUGCAUAAUGAACCUACGAGUUACUUUUUCCGGCAAGGUUAAGGAUCUUGAGAUCCGCAGCCGAAGCGAAAGCGAGUCUUAACAGGGCGAUUAGUCGGAAGGAGUAGACGCGAAACCAAGUGAUCUACCCUUGGUCAGGUUGAAGGUUAGGUAACACUAACUGGAGGACCGAACCGAUAAGCGUUGAAAAGCUUCCGGAUGAACUGAGGGUGGGGGUGAAAGGCUAAUCAAACUUGGAGAUAGCUCGUACUCCCCCGAAAUGCAUUUAGGUGCAGCCUUGGGAAUUACUACUGUGAGGUAGAGCGACUGAUAAGAUGCGAGGGCUUCACCGCCUAUCAAGUCUUGAUAAACUCCGAAUGCGCAGUAGUUCGAUCCCAGGAGUGAGGGCAUGGGUGCUAAGGUCCAUGUCCUAAAGGAGAAGAAUCCGGACCAUCAGCUAAGGUCCCGAAAUAAUUGCUAAGUUGAACUAACGAAGUCAGAUUGCUAAGACAGCUAGGAUGUUGGCUUGGAAGCAGCCAUUCAUUUAAAGAGUGCGUAACAGCUCACUAGUCGAGGAGUUUGGCGUGGAUAAUAAUCGGGCAUUAAGCAAUUUACCGAAGCUAUGGGAUCCGUAAGGAUCGGUAGGGGAGCAUUCCACUCUGCGUCGAAGGUGAAGCGUGAGCUUUGCUGGAGCGUGUGGAAAAGCAAAUGUAGGUAUAAGUAACGAUAAAGGGGGGUGAGAAACCCCCUCGCCGAAAGACUAAGGUUUCCUGAUCAACGCUAAUCGGAUCAGGGUUAGUCGGGUCCUAAGGCUCAGCCGAACGGUGAGGCCGAUGGCAGAACAGGUUAAUAUUCCUGUACUACCUUAAGGAGUGACGUGGAGACGGAGGAGUGACAGCGCCGCGGACUGACGGAAUAGUCCGUUGAAGGGUGUAGAUGUUGAUUAUCCCAGGCAAAUCCGGGAUAAGAGUCGAACCUGAUAGUAUACCAAAUUCUUCGGAAUAAGGUAAUAGUGCGUGUAAGCAUACUCCCAAGAAAAUCCGCUAAACUUAAUCUUUAAGGUACCCGUACCGCAAACGGACACACGUAGUCGGGUUGAAUAUACUAAGGCGCUUGAGUGAUUCACGGUUAAGGAACUAGGCAAAUUGACCCUGUAACUUCGGGAUAAAGGGUCCCAACGAGAGUUGGGCGCAGAGAAUAGGUCCAGGCAACUGUUUAACAAAAACACAGGGCUGUGCCAAAUUGAAAGAUUACGUAUACAGCCUGACACCUGCCCGGUGCUGGAAGGUUAAGAGGAGAUGUCAUCGCAAGAGAAGCAUUGAAUUGAAGCCCCAGUAAACGGCGGCCGUAACUAUAACGGUCCUAAGGUAGCGAAAUUCCUUGUCGGGUAAGUUCCGACCUGCACGAAUGGUGUAAUGAUCUGGACACUGUCUCAACCGUGAGCUCAGUGAAAUUGUAGUAUCGGUGAAGAUGCCGAUUACCCGCGAUGGGACGAAAAGACCCCGUGAACCUUUACUAUAGCUUAACAUUGAAUUUGGGUAAUUGAUGUGUAGGAUAGGCCGGAGACUUUGAAGCAGGUACGCCAGUAUUUGUGGAGUCGCUGUUGAAAUACGGCCCUUUGAUUAUUUGAGUUCUAACUCGUUGUUACGAGGACACUGUUUGGUGGGUAGUUUGACUGGGGUGGUCGCCUCCAAAAGUGUAACGGAGGCUUCUAAAAGGUGCCCUCAGGACGAUUGGUAACCGUCCGUAGAGUGUAAUGGCAUAAGGGCGCUUGACUGGGAGACAGACAAGUCGAUCAGGUAGGAAACUAGAGCAUAGUGAUCCGGUGUUUCCGUAUGGAAGGGACAUCGCUCAAAGGAUAAAAGGUACUCCGGGGAUAACAGGCUGAUCCCUCCCAAGAGCUCAUAUCGACGGAGGGGGUUUGGCACCUCGAUGUCGGCUCGUCACAUCCUGGGGCUGGAGAAGGUCCCAAGGGUUGGGCUGUUCGCCCAUUAAAGUGGCACGCGAGCUGGGUUCAGAACGUCGUGAGACAGUUCGGUCUCUAUCUAUCGUGGGCGUAUGAAAUUUGCGUGGCUCUGACACUAGUACGAGAGGACCGUGUUGGACUGACCGCUGGUUUACCAGUUGUGCCGCCAGGUGCAUUGCUGGGUAUCUAAGUCGGGAUUGGAUAAGUGCUGAAAGCAUCUAAGUACGAAGCCAGCCACAAGAUUAGAUUUCUUAGGGUCGUCAAAGACGAUGACGUUGAUAGGAUGCAGGUGUAAAGGUGGUAACAUCAAAGCCGAGCAUUACUAAUUGCCCGUUCACUUUCUUUC